rnacentral:rRNA from 1 species
AGUGAACGCUGGCGGUAGGCCUAACACAUGCAAGUCGAACGGCAGCACAGUAAGAGCUUGCUCUUACGGGUGGCGAGUGGCGGACGGGUGAGGAAUACAUCGGAAUCUACUUUUUCGUGGGGGAUAACGUAGGGAAACUUACGCUAAUACCGCAUACGUCCUACGUGUGAAAGCAGGGGAUCUUCGGACCUUGCGCGAUUGAAUGAGCCGAUGUCGGAUUAGCUAGUUGGCGGGGUAAAGGCCCACCAAGGCGACGAUCCGUAGCUGGUCUGAGAGGAUGAUCAGCCACACUGGAACUGAGACACGGUCCAGACUCCUACGGGAGGCAGCAGUGGGGAAUAUUGGACAAUGGGCGCAAGCCUGAUCCAGCCAUACCGCGUGGGUGAAGAAGGCCUUCGGGUUGUAAAGCCCUUUUGUUGGGAAAGAAAAGCAGCAGGUUAAUACCCCGCUGUUCUGACGGUACCCAAAGAAUAAGCACCGGCUAACUUCGUG